rnacentral:sRNA from 1 species
CCAAGAGGAAGGUGCCUAUGGCUGGAUUACUAUCAACUAUCUGCUGGGCAAAUUCAGUCAGAAAACAAGGUGGUUCAGCAUAGUUCCAUAUGAAACCAAUAAUCAGGAAACCUUUGGAGCUUUGGACCUUGGGGGAGCCUCUACACAAAUCACUUUUGUACCCCAAAACCAGACUAUCGAGUCCCCAGAUAAUGCUCUGCAAUUUCGCCUCUAUGGCAAGGACUACAAUGUCUACACACAUAGCUUCUUGUGCUAUGGGAAGGAUCAGGCACUCUGGCAGAAACUGGCCAAGGACAUUCAGAUGCUUUCUGCAUUUCAAAGACAAGAAAAGUUAAACACACUUUGGGAGGAUGAGGUGGGUGGAUCACUUCAGGUCAGGAGUUGGAGACCAGCCUGGCCAACAUGGUGAAACCCCAUCUCUACUAAAAAUACAAAAAAA